rnacentral:rRNA from 1 species
UACGUAGGGUGCAAGCGUUAAUCGGAAUUACUGGGCGUAAAGCGUGCGCAGGCGGUUCUAUAAGACAGAUGUGAAAUCCCCGGGCUCAACCUGGGAACUGCAUUUGUGACUGUAGAGCUGGAGUACGGUAGAGGGGGAUGGAAUUCCGCGUGUAGCAGUGAAAUGCGUAGAUAUGCGGAGGAACACCGAUGGCGAAGGCAACCCCCUGGACCUGUACUGACGCUCAUGCACGAAAGCGUGGGGAGCAAACAGG